rnacentral:misc_RNA from 1 species
AAGAGCCGGAUGAGCUGAAAGGUUCCACGUCCGGUUGCGUAAGAGCCUGUGGGUGAGAUCCCCUCGAGUUACUCGAC